GGUGAUGAAACUGUGGGCCAACUUUGCUCGGAAUGGGGACCCCAAUGGAGAGGGGCUGCCCCAUUGGCCAGCAUAUGACCAGAAGGAAGGGUACUUGGAGAUUGGCAUCACCACUAAGGCAGCCCAGAAGCUGAAAGACAAGGAGGUGGCUUUCUGGACUGAGGUCCUGGCCAAGAAGGCAGCAGAGAAGCCAGCGCAGACAGAGCACAUUGAGCUAUGAACAGAGGGCCAACUGGGUACUCUACAUGGGCAUUCUACAGAAGGCACUUAUAGCUCAAAGAGGCUUCUUAUUGUGGAGGCUGAAGAAUUGUCUGGUGGGAUGGAGAAUUUUGUACUGAUUGCCUCAAUUUGGGGAAUAAAUGUUUUGGAGAUGAA